GAGGGUAGAGCUUAUUGGUAGAGUGCAUGCUUAGCAUGCACGAGGUCCUGGGUUCAACCCCCAGUACCUCCA
rfam:Camelus ferus unplaced genomic scaffold scaffold1364, whole genome shotgun sequence.